AUAUCAAUAAGCGGAGGAAAAGAAACUAACAAGGAUUCCCCUAGUAACGGCGAGUGAAGCGGGAUGAGCUCAAAUUUAAAAUCUGGCUGGUUUACUAGUCCGAAUUGUAGUUUAUAGAAGCGUUUUCGGUGGCAGCCUGGGUAUAAAUCCUUUGGAAUAGGGUAUCAUAGAGGGUGAGAAUCCCGUCUUUGACUCAGUGCAUGCUACUAUGUGAUACGUUUUCAAAGAGUCGAGUUGUUUGGGAAUGCAGCUCAAAAUGGGUGGUAAAUUUCAUCUAAGGCUAAAUAUUGGCGAGAGACCGAUAGCGAACAAGUACCGUGAGGGAAAGAUGAAAAGAACUUUGAAAAGAGAGUUAAACAGUGCGUGAAAUUGUUGAAAGGGAAACGCUUGACACCAGUUAUGCGGGUGGAAAAUCAGUCUUUUGCAAUGGGGAGUUGUGGGCGUUCAGACCGCAAGGCUGGCGUUUGCUUCAUCUUUGUUGUAAGUGAUGCACUUUUUCAUUUGCAGGUCAACAUCAGUUUGCUUUGCUGGACAAAACCCCAAGGGAAGGUGACAGCUUAGGCUGUGUUAUAGCCCUGGGGCGAUACAGUGGAGUGGACUGAGGUUUCGCAGUGUGUGCUCUCGGGCAAGGCUGAUUGGGUGCUAUGGGAUCGUUCGGCGUACAAUGCAUGCAUUUUGCGUCGUGUCUUUUUCAUACUCGCUCAACUCGGCUCUUCCACGCUUAGGAUGUUGACUUAAUGGUUUUAAUCGA
rnacentral:rRNA from 1 species